GUUUAGUAGUGUUGAGGUCAAAGCUCUAUAGGCGGCCACUGAAGAUUUUUUGCACCAACCUGAGUACACUAGGAAUGUGCAUCUUAAUGCCUAGCUAACAAUACGGCAUGCUGUUGCACGUCUUCCUGCUGAGCUGAUCCGUCUAUCCGUCUCCUCACCUGUAGCCGUCUUGAUGAAAUGUAGCCCUGCUAGUGUCGGUUCCAGCUGUCAUGAACGCAGCAGUGAUUUCGGAAAGGAAGAUGCACCUCUGCCUCUGCCAUGUUAAUCUAUAUUCUAUGUGACACCCAGGACACGCCUCGGUCUCCGUAGAGUUGAUACGCCAUGUUCACCUAGCAGCAGUGGUGCUGA